rnacentral:rRNA from 1 species
GACGAACGCUGGCGGCGUGCUUAACACAUGCAAGUCGAACGGAAAGGCCCUGCUUUUGUGGGGUGCUCGAGUGGCGAACGGGUGAGUAACACGUGAGUAACCUGCCCUUGACUUUGGGAUAACUUCAGGAAACUGGGGCUAAUACCGGAUAGGAGCUCCUGCUGCAUGGGGGGGGUUGGAAAGUUUCGGCGGUUGGGGAUGGACUCGCGGCUUAUCAGCUGGUUGGUGGGGUAGUGGCUUACCAAGGCUUUGACGGGUAGCCGGCCUGAGAGGGUGACCGGCGACAUUGGGACUGAGAUACGGCCCAGAAUCCUACGGGAGGCAGCAGUGGGGAAUAUUGCACAAUGGGCGGAAGCCUGAUGCAGCAACGCCGCGUGCGGGAUGACGGCCUUCGGGUUGUAAACCGCUUUCGACUGUGACGAAGCGUGAGUGACGGUAAUGGGUAAAGAAGCACCGGCUAACUACGUG